UGGUAGUCAGUGCAUAUUCUUUUCUCUCUGGCUAUCCACCUGUCCUUUUUCAGCGAAGGCAGAGCUGGCAGCAUGUAACAAAGUUAAAUCAGAAUCCUGCUUUCCAUACAGGAGCUUGACUUUUCUCUGAAAAAGGCGGGUUUGCUGAACCAAGGACCAUGAAGGCAAUAUUUUAAUCAUCAGGAAAUAGUUCAAGAAUAAAGCUUUUCACGUCCAUCCUCAGGCACCUAUGAGUUCUUAUCAUAAUGUUAUUAAAAAACUAGGAAGCUCUCCUUAGCUUGAAAGUUAUCAGAGAGAAAGGAUUAAAUACCAGAGAAGGGAGCUGCAGGUGUUAUUUGAAUUGAAAAGCAGCAGAGCCUUUUACAAACCAGUCUUCAGCAGAUCCUAAGGAGCCAAGUAAUACUCAUGUUUUCCUUAGUCAACAAUUGCUUUUCAGUUGCCUUUGUUGCGGAGGAGAAGAUAGGUGUUCUGCUGCAUAAAAGCCUACAUGCAGUUCUGUUAAUGGCAGGGGCACAGUGCUCCCAACAGACAAAAGGGAAAGGAGAAAAUGAAUGAACAAGCAACCAACCAACCACAGGACAUGAAAGAACAUUCGUAAAGCUUUAUUUCCUGGUGCCUGAGCCACUCCUCACGGAAGCUGAUGGAGAGACUUGCUUCGUUGCUGCAGCCUUUGAACGCUGUUAGCGCUGUGGGGAACAGGCUGCAUUUGUUUUCUGGUUUUUAACUGCCACGUAUGUUUAGAGGAAGCUUAUAAAUAAAGGCACCCUGCACCCAUAAACUUAUCCUUAUGGCUUAGGAUGGAAAAAUCAAGUCCCCUAAAUGGCAAGAUGUUAGCACAUCAUUUAAAUUUUUGGAAAAGGGCUGAUUUGCCACGUGUGCUUCUGCAGUUACUUCAGGUUUGCCCUUUAAGAUCCUAUGUGGGAAGGAGAUCCCCCACUGGGUGAAGUGCCUGGCCCACUUCAGCUCAUGCAUCCCCCUCCUCCAGAGCUGCCUCCUCAAGGAGUGGCUGACCCCAGCAGUCCUGCAGAACCAUGUCAGCCUCAGCCUCCACAAGGAGGAUCAGGGGGACACAGCAGAUGAGGAGCCCCUCAGCCACAUCAUGAACCUGUAGACAUAGCCCACUCUGCCCUCAAAUAACCUCUCUCCCGAUUUCUCUUGUACUAUUUCUUUCUAUGUCUGCUGCCCUCUUGUCAGCUGAAUCCCAAAGUACCCACAGAACUUCUACAGUACCGAGUGUUCCCAGUGUAAUGCUUCAAGUUCAGUGCAACUGCUUGGCUGUUCUCUUCAGUUGUUAGAGUGACACCUGAUGGUUUUAGCCUUGUUGAUAGAAUUUGACAGUAAAUAGUUGUAUUGCCCUGGAUUUAGGAAGCGGAGGCUUUAAAGGAUGCUUGUUAGCAAUAGUGGCUCAGCAGCUUGUUGAGAGAGAAGUUUAAUGUCCCUUUGCCCUGAGGGUUGUCCGGCUUUCUUGAAAUGUGCAUCUUUGAAAAAGAAGAGAAGUCUGAGACAUGUUCCUGGAGAGAGCAUUCCUCUCUUGAAGCAAGGCAGGAACACACAGGUUUAUGCACUGUUAUCCAGACAGCUGGUUUUGCCCUUUUCUCCACAGGACUGAGUCAUAAAUGUCUGCUUUAAACCUGUUACAGCUAAAAUCUGCAAGCUGGGAUGUGGAAUCCCAGAUGAGCAAUACAAACAAAUCAAUCUAUAUAGGAGAGAAAAUUAAAAUCAGUAUUCUAUGAUCCACAUCUGCAUCUAUGAGAAGCUCCAAAAUUAAGCUGAGACACCUUUUGGCAGCUGGUUGCUCCAGAAAACCGUGAUGUGCACCGUUCUGCGCUCUGGGGCAGCACAGUUGUAGAAUGCGUUUAAUUGACGUUGGUACCUAAGGUGUUUUUGCUUGCCUGUCUGAGGGAUCUGUGGGAAGCCUUCAAUGAAAGCAGAUCUUCUAAUGAGCUGUCUCAAGUUGUGUUUUGAAGAUUGCAACCCAAAAGUAGAGCAUUUUGGUUUCUUAUGAGGACGUUUAGGGAUGUUUCUGGAUGGAGUCAUGUAGACAGAGCUUUGUUCCAUGAAGGCUU